CCUACGGGAGGCAGCAGUGGGGAAUUUUCCGCAAUGGGCGCAAGCCUGACGGAGCAACGCCGCGUGAGGGAUGAAGGCCUCUGGGCUGUAAACCUCUUUUCUCAAGGAAGAAGACCUGACGGUACUUGAGGAAUAAGCCACGGCUAAUUCCGUGCCAGCAGCCGCGGUAAUACGGGAGUGGCAAGCGUUAUCCGGAAUUAUUGGGCGUAAAGCGUCCGCAGGCGGCCUAUUAAGUCUGUCGUUAAAGCGUGGAGCUCAACUCCAUUUAAGCGAUGGAAACUGGAAGGCUAGAGUGUGGUAGGGGCAGAGGGAAUUCCCGGUGUAGCGGUGAAAUGCGUAGAUAUCGGGAAGAACACCAGUGGCGAAGGCGCUCUGCUGGGCCAUAACUGACGCUCAUGGACGAAAGCCAGGGGAGCGAAAGGGAUUAGAUACCCCUGUAGUCCUGGCCGUAAACGAUGAACACUAGGUGUCGGGGGAAUCGACCCCCUCGGUGUCGUAGCUAACGCGUUAAGUGUUCCGCCUGGGGAGUACGCACGCAAGUGUGAAACUCAAAGUAGUAAUGACGCGUGAGAGCGACGAGCACGACGGAGGUAG
rnacentral:rRNA from 1 species